rnacentral:rRNA from 1 species
ACGAACGCUGGCGGCGUGCCUAAUACAUGCAAGUCGAAACGGUCUUUCUAUGGAAGCUUGCUUCCACUGAGAAGAUAGUGGCGAACGGGUGAGUAACACGUGGGUAACCUGCCCAUAAGAGGGGGAUAACAUCCGGAAACGGGUGCUAAUACCGGCAUAGUUUUCUUGAUCGCAUGAUUGAGAAAGGAAAGACGGCCUUUGUGCUGUUGCUUAUGGAUGGACCCGCGGCGUAUUAGUUAGUUGGUGAGGUAAUGGCUCACCAAGACGAUGAUACGUAGCCGACCUGAGAGGGUGAUCGGCCACAUUGGGACUGAGACACGGCCCAAACUCCUACGGGAGGCAGCAGUAGGGAAUCUUCCGCAAUGGACGAAAGUCUGACGGGAGCAACGCCGCGUGAGUGAAGAAGGUUUUUCCGGAUCGUAAAACUCUGUUGUCAGAGAAGAACAAGUUGGAGAAUAACUGCUCCAGCCUUGACGGUAUCUGACCAGAAAGCCACGGCUAACUACGUGCCAGCCGCAGC